UCGGGAUGACAGGAUUCGAACCAGCGGCCACCUGUACCCAAAACAGGUGCGCUACCAAACUGCGCUACAUCCCG
rnacentral:tRNA from 1 species